rnacentral:misc_RNA from 1 species
UGGUGCUCAUUUUUACUUUAGAUAUUAAUGUUGCAUUUGUGUGUGCUCAUGUUUUGGAGGUCAUGAAUUCAAAUCAAAGGGGGGAAAGCCUUCUUACAAUGUAAGAGAAGGCCCUGAACAGUCCCCCACAAAGCCUGCAGUGUAGGAAGCCUCAUUCAUCUGCAACUGUUUUCUUUGUGUGUAUUAAUGGGUUCUGGUUUGCUUUAUCAUGGAUACAAUAAGAAGGAAGUGAUCCAUAUUUUACAUCCAUAUGAUAUGAGAUAUCAUUGCUUUUGAGGUACCCCUUCAGUUUAAAUAAGAUAAUUAGAAAUUUUUGCAAUUUGAGACAAUGGCUAUUUGACCAUGGA